UACAGAGGGUGCAAGCGUUAUUCGGAAUUAUUGGGCGUAAAGGGCGCGUAGGCGGCUUGGCAAGUGGAUGGUGAAAUCCCUCGGCUUAACCGAGGAACUGCCGUCCAAACUGCUUCGCUUGAGACCGGGAGAGGUGAGUGGAAUUCCCAGUGUAGCGGUGAAAUGCGUAGAUAUUGGGAGGAACACCAGUGGCGAAGGCGGCUCACUGGACCGGUACUGACGCUGAUGCGCGAAAGCGUGGGGAGCAAACGGG
rnacentral:rRNA from 1 species